AGGCGAGAGAGAGGGAUAUGACUCAUAUGAGAGUGGAGCGCAUACUGUGCAAACGCAGAAAGCAACUUCCCACAAAGGCCAAAAGCGAUUCUUUAAUUUCCUUCUUUCACCGACUGGAUAUUUCUUUCCACAAAACGCUAUCUUUCCAGUUUCCACAGCAAUUGACUUAGUCGCCUAUGAUGCUAAAUAACAGAAAGCAAUGCCCCUAUCUACACUUGUGUUGGGUGCAUAACAAGAAUAACUGCAGAGAAUGGGAGGUUGUUGCUGUUCUUCCAGAAAAGCUCGUGUGCAACUGCAUGGAGCACCUGUAUAUAUCUAUUGUCCUCCGGUUUUGGAAGAGCAAGAGUUGUUAAGAUCUCAUGAUGUCACAGCCUCCGCAAUCAGUGCAGGACUUCUGGUUCGUUGGGAUUUGGAAUCAUCAAUACCUGACACUUACAGACCCCCUCCUCCACCUUUGCCAUAUGAUAUGGUCUUUGGAUCAACAGAUUCUGAUUCUGCCAGGGAAACAAUUAGUUGCAGUAGUUUUGACACUUCCGCUACUUGUGGAGAUCUUGGGGAAUCAGACUGCAAAGUUCAAGAAAGUUCUUUGGAUAUCCCACCGAAGAAGUUAGAACUUUCAAAAUCAAAUGAACCUCAUGGUUUAGAAAAAGAAGAUGAGGAUGUUUGUCCUAUUUGUCUCGAAGAGUAUGAAACCGAGAAUCCAAAGUUUAUCACAAAAUGCAAACACCACUAUCACCUCUCGUGUAUCCUUGAGUGGAUGGAAAGAAGUGAUGCCUGUCCUAUAUGUGAUCAGGAAGUCAUUUCACCAAUGAAGAAGGUAAAAGAAGAGUAGAAAUUACUGGUGCACCUGAUUUUUGGUGGAAUGAUGAUUACGGAACGGUUACAAUUGUAAGGGAACUGGCAGUUGACCAAACCUUGUAGUUUGUAGCUCGUUCUUUUGUAAAAUCAAAGUUUAUUUGCUGCUUGAAGUCAGAGAUUGCCAACUCAGUAGACUCUAGACCGACGGUAGCUCUUCGUUUCGAAACUUGCCAGGGAUGUGUGGCCUGCAGAUUCAUUUAUAAUUUGGGUCAUGCUCAAAUUGAAGAUUGCACCGAAUCUCUUUAGUUAGCUGUAUUAGCGGGUCAGUUGAUGGCGGCAAAGUCUCUUUCCCUAUGUUUAUAGCUUGAUUCAAAUUCUCAGACAGGCCUCUAGAUUUAAAGUGGAGCAACCAACAAGUUAAGAACAAGGCCUUCCUGUGGAACCAAGGUAACGACAGUUCCGCUAUGUACAUAUGUCUUAGCUUGUUGUAGGAACCCUUCUGUUGCCCAUUUGUUGCUGUCUGCUGCAGGAUUUGAUCAUACACUGCAGUCCUUAAAUUUGCAAUUUGUGUAAAUCACAUCUCUUUUACUUUGUGGGUGGAUUUGAUUUGGAAAAAUUGUCUCAUGUAUAAAAGCAUGCAAUGAUCAAGAAAUUUAGUCCUGAAAA